CUACGGGGUGCUCCAGUGGGGAAUAUUGCACAAUGGAGGAAACUCUGAUGCAGCAACGCCGCGUGGAGGAUGACACUUUUCGGAGCGUAAACUCCUUUUAUAUAGGAAGAAGAUGACGGUACUAUAUGAAUAAGCGCCGGCUAACUCCGUGCCAGCAGCCGCGGUAAUACGGAGGGCGCAAGCGUUACUCGGAAUCACUGGGCGUAAAGAGCGUGUAGGCGGAUUAAAAAGUCAGAAGUGAAAUCCCAUAGCUUAACUAUAGAACUGCUUCUGAAACUCUUAAUCUAGAAUAUGGGAGAGGUAGAUGGAAUUUCUGGUGUAGGGGUAAAAUCCGUAGAGAUCAGAAGGAAUACCGAUUGCGAAGGCGAUCUACUAGAACAUUAUUGACGCUGAGACGCGAAAGCGUGGGGAGCAAACAGGAUUAGAUACCCCUGUAGUC
rnacentral:rRNA from 1 species